rnacentral:rRNA from 1 species
AGGACGAACGCUGGCGGCGUGCUUAACACAUGCAAGUCGAACGGAAAGGCCCGCUUGCGGGUACUCGAGUGGCGAACGGGUGAGUAACACGUGGGCAACCUGCCCUCAGCUCUGGGAUAACUCCGGGAAACCGGUGCUAAUACUGGAUAUCGACUUCUGCCUCGCAUGGGGUGUUGUUGAAAGUUUUUCGGCUGGGGAUGGGCCCGCGGCCUAUCAGCUUGUUGGUGGGGUGAUGGCCUACCAAGGCGACGACGGGUAGCCGGCCUGAGAGGGCGACCGGCCACACUGGGACUGAGACACGGCCCAGACUCCUACGGGAGGCAGCAGUGGGGAAUAUUGCGCAAUGGGCGGAAGCCUGACGCAGCGACGCCGCGUGAGGGAUGACGGCCUUCGGGUUGUAAACCUCUUUCAGCUCUGACGAAGCGAGAGUGACGGUAGGAGCAGAAGAAGCACCGGCCAACUACGCGCCAGCACGCCGCGGU